AAAUAUCCAAUCUCCACCAGUCCUGUAUACUGUUCAAAGAAACCCACCUCUUUGGACAGCCAAGAGAACAAAAACCCUAAUCUUCUGAUGCUUUGGAACUUCUGCCAUGUUAAUUAUGGACUGCUUAGAGCACUGUACUUAUCCGUGUGCCCAGACAUCAGCGAGAGGCUACGGAGUGUGAAAAUCCUGUUCAGUAUUUCUUGUAUUAAAGCCUUAAAGUGUAUAACAGUAUACACUUUUUAAAAUAAUUGUAUAUUUAAACUCUUGAUUGUAUAGUGAUGCAACAAUGUUUUAUUUGGAGCUCAAUAAAAAAUUUUCAUCUAAGUUCCUGUUACA
rnacentral:lncRNA from 1 species